CGCUCGACGCGGACGCUGGCCAACGCUGGCGUCGGCUCAAAGUUCAAAACACGAAAGUUUGUGCAUGUAUGCUCGAAGGUGUGGUUCACUCAUCGCUCCAUUACUCACCCAACGCUCGCACGAGUACCAUGACGCGACCGCAGUGACAGUAUGAUGAGGUAUCUCAUACAGACGACAGCGCUGGGGCUGGUGAUCUUCGCCAGUUCCAGCGACGGCCAGUGGUCAAACCAGCGGCCGUACCCUUCCGGUGGUGCGCCCCAGCAGCCCGAUUUCUCGUCGAACCGUAACCCAUCGGGCUCGUUCUACAGGCCGGACAGCACCCGUUUCGGUGGCACGAGCCUCUACUACGCCGAACCGACCGAACUCCACCGGUACAGCGAUGCCCGAUGCGACAUCCGAUCGACGACGCAGAUCAGCAUGACCAGGACUGCGACCACUCCCGCGGGCGUCUUUCUGGGUCGGAUUAUUUACCUGUGCGAUCUGCCCGAGUACACGCGGAACGACCAGAGACCCGUGUCGCAGGGAGGGGUCGAACACAGGAACGAGAGGAUAAACUAUCCGUCCAGUGCUGUCGCGUACCUCGGCAUCCCGUACGCUCUGCCACCGCUCGGACACAACAGGUUCAGGGAGCCUCAGGCCCACCCACCCCUGGGGAACGUCCAGGCACUGCAGUUUCGCGACUCGUGCGUCCAGCACAUUGACUACAAGGGACAGCACAUGGGCAUCCCUUCUACUAGCGAGGACUGCCUCUACCUGAACAUUUACACCCCAAACCUGGAAGACGUUAGCAGACGGUUUGCGGUCAUGGUGUACAUUCACGGCGGCGACUUUGACCACGGUUCUGGGAACACGUUUCCUGGCCACAUGCUCGCCGCAUCACAAGAGGUGGUCGUCGUCACCUUCAACUACCGCCUGGGGGCACUUGGGUUCCUGGCGACGGGCGACGAUGUGUCUCCCGGCAACUAUGGGCUGCUGGACCAGGCAGCUGCCAUUCAGUGGGUGCACGACUUCGUCGAAGGUUUUGCCGGCGACCCGAGGAGAAUCACCCUGUUUGGACCCGGCGCCGGUGCGGCCAGUGCGGGCUUACACAUGGUGCACCAGAUGGGACGGCGUGACCUGGCCUUCCAGCGGGUGAUAGCGCAGGGCGGCUCGGCGAUGGCGGAGUGGGCGCUGGACCAAGACCCGAUUCGCAUGCGGAACAUGAGCUACCUGUACGGGGAGCAGGUGGGCUGCGGGGGCCACACUACGCAGCACCUGGUCAACUGCCUCCGCAGCAAGGGGAACAGCAGCUCCGAGUUCACCCUCGCACGAGUCACACCCUUGGUUGGGAGGCUUGCCUGGGGCCCAGUCUUGGAUCGCCACACGCGCGCCCAGGCGGAGAGCAUAGUGCCCGUCGCGCCAGAGGAGUUUUUCCGGGACCUUCCGCCGAGGGAGGCGGAGCUAAUGCGGGAGCAGGUGGCUUACAUGACAGGCGUCACACGCAACGAGGCUUCUUACAUAGCACGGGAGGACAAGGAGCUGAAGGCAUCCAAGUACUCGAUGGGCCCCGAGCUGUUCCGGCUGUACCUGCAGCGCUAUGCCAGGCAGUUCAACUUCUCACUCAACGAGGAGGCCGCCGUCAGCGCCCUGUCCUUCAUGUACACCCCGUGGAGCGACCGGGACAACCGCUCCCUGCUCAUGCAGGGAUACGUGGACAUGCUCUCAGACUCCUACUUCGUGGCACCCCAAGACAAGACAAUCAAGCUGAUGCUGGACAAGGGGUUCAAGGUGUAUGCCUACGUGCUCAACUACAGCCUCGACAGCUACCCCAAGGAACAGUACCUCAGGCGCUCCUACGACUGGGAUGCGGUGCCGCACGAGGUGGUGGACCUGAUGGUUUCGGGGGCUCCCUUCAUGGACCCCAAGUUCUACCCGGACAACCUGGAGCUGAGCGGGAUCGUCUGGAGUGAGGGGGACCGCAACAUGAGUCAGCUCUUCAUGCAGGCCUGGGCUAACUUCGCCAAAACCGGGGACCCGAUGAAGCCGACAUCGCUGUUCGGGACCAUCGUCUGGGAGCCCGCAACGAAGGGCAACCUGCAGUACCUGUCGGUGAACGGGACGUACUACGAGGCGCUCAACUCGUCGAGCUUCCUGCUGCGCGACUACCGACAGAAGGAGGCCCAGUUCUGGAACGCCUACCUCCCAGACCUGCUGCUGCGGCCCCCGGCCACCUGGCCGCCCUGGGAGGCGCCCCUGGCCCGGGAGAACCGCAUCGUGACUGCCUCCUUGUGGGGGGUCACGGCCGCCGCCAUGCUCUUCCUCCUCCUCGCCGUGCUGGGCUUCUGCUGCUACUGCAAGGCGGCAAGGUACGACGAGGCCCGCUGAGGCGCCGGCGCAGCCCCACGCACGACCGGCGCUGCCACGGGGGGAAGGCACGGGGAGCGGUUGACGGAGCACUGCGGGAAACUCUGGAUUGUCGCUUAAUUUGCGGAUUGUCUGCGGCGCGAGCGAAGUCGUAAGCGGUUCUUUGGAACACGUCUUAAAAGUUGGGAGUCAUUACCUUCGAAAAAGAACCACCUAGUAAGUUCGGGAUGGCAGCCAAUGUUUGGUAAGAGUCAGUCUCCAAUCUGGUGCCUCAAGAAGCUACAUCUCUCGGCGAAGCGUCAGCUGUCACCUUCAGACGCAAUCCCCGUUGCUUUGGGCGUGCCCUACCAAAUUAACAGUCUUUCUUACGAGCCCCGGUUCGGCUAGGUGAUCACAGAGGUUUUGGGGUGCCUUAUGCGGCACUUAUACUAUGAUCCAUAAUUUUUCAAGUAGAUGAAAUGCCCUACAUGCCCAUAUCCUACUAAAAAUAAUUUUUUAUUUUUUUUUGACAACAGUUGUAAAGUUAUAUAUGUUGUAACUUUUAACUCUACGGGAAGCUUCUUCAUGGUUCAGCUAACUUUGUGAUUGAAUUUGUACAGAUAACAAUCUGCUGUUUGCUUCUUUACAUCAAGAACUGUACAAGGCAUCCACACUUUAUUUACCACCUGUGUUUGUUUUCUUUUACACAUUUUUUUGUGGUUGACGUAAUAUAAAAUUAAAUUCUCCUUUGACUUGGGUACUAUAUAUUUCCCUAGCUUCCUCUGGGAAUCGCCGCUAUCCACGAGUCUAGGGUUAUCUGGAAGAGCAUGAACAGUAUUUGAAACGGUGGUGUCAUCAAGACUGCUCUGCCACCACAAAAUUUUGUCGCGCGAGGUUCCUUCAAAUAUUUGGAGGAAAUUCCUGGUUGAAGUUUCCCGCAGUGCUUCCGUGUACUAAUGCAUCGGACUGCCAUUUUUAGGAAGACCAGUUUAUUUGACAGUGGAGCCAUACGGUUGUUUGCGACGAAUGAGCAAACAACCAUGCCCACACCAGCGAUGCAUGUAUGUUUACGAGGUUCUGGAUCUUCAGCACCUUUUCUGCAAUAGGGAUGCAUGUGUGGGAAACUACGGGUGCCAAUUUCAUAUUUUUUCAGCCGACAUCUGGUUGACGAGGACGAAAUUCCGCGCGCAUCAAUGCAUUCCCUGACGGAAAGUACCAAUAG
rnacentral:misc_RNA from 1 species